UCCUAGCCCUGAUAAAAAUGGAAAUCCUUUUGAUAAAAAAAAGUACUUUUUUCUCAUAAAAAAAGAGCGACCAACGGAAGCUCCUUUUUAUAUCUAGAAAAAGACUGUUUUUUAUCCAAAGAUUGAAAUGAAUAGCAGGAAAUAGC
rnacentral:sRNA from 1 species